UUUCACACACUCUCCGUUAAAUCGCUCUUAGUUAGGAUUUUUUAAUUAGGGUUUCUGAAUCUAAGGUUUUUAAUUUAGGGUUUAUGAUGAUUGUUGUUGUUACAGGUGAUUAAAGGCUUUGGACCAGUUCUCUCACUCUACAGGUGAUUAGAGUUUGUGUUUUUUUUGCUUAUAUUGUUGUUGUUUCGAUGAAUCUCUUUGUUCUCUCUAACUCUCUAACUUAAAAACUUGAUUUGUGCAUAAUAUUUGAUUACUUUGGGUUGAUCUUUGGAAACUGGAAUGUGACUUUUGCUACCCCUGCAUGAACCGUGAUUUUUGGAACUUAGUUGCAGGUGAUAUUUCAGUUCUCAUAUCAGUGGCUAGUCUUGCCUUGGCAAAUUAAACAAAUAAGAUGGAUCAACGUCAAAGUAGCACGGAAAGAGUCUUAGAGCAAGAGCAAUGCAAUUGAAGCUCUACUAAAUGCCUUGAAUGAUGAGACUCAGAGAUUACAAGAACAAGUAUAUUUUGGACAAAUAAAAUCUCACACUGAUCAAUGGAUGAUUUGAAGCCCGUGACACAUCUUUUUGCCGUUGACAUCACUUUAGCGAGUGGGAUUAAGUUACUUCGCCAAGGCUUUAAUUAUCUGGUUAAUACUGAUUUGCAUUUCUUUUAAAUAUUCUUCUAUCUUUUAUCCUGAUGACUGUCAUUGGUUGGGUGCAACUCUCGUAUGGUUGGGCUUGUUCAGCUAUUGCUAAAAUCUAAUGCCUCAAACAGCUUGAUAGAAGAUUAUGCAGCCUGCCUUGAGGCACGGUCAGAAGAAUCUCAGAAUGUUGAAAAUAAUAAUAACAAUGAUGAUCCGAGCAUUCUUAUUCUGCAACUUCUAAUUGACAACAUCAGCAGGCCAGCUCCAAAUAUCACUCACUUACUACUUAAAUUUGAUCUAGAUACACCUGUAGAGCGGACAAUUUUACAGCCUAAAUUUUAUUACAGUUGCAUGAAGGUUAUUCUUGAUAUUCUGGAGAAGCUUUUGAAGCCAGAUGUAAAUGCAUUACUUCAUGAAUUUAGUUUUCAGGUCAACUGUAGUUGAUCUGUUGGGUAACAUAUCUAAAGUAGUUGUUAAAUUUCAGAGAAUUCAUAACUAAGUUUUAUUUGGAAUAUUCUGUUUUUCAUUGAUUUCAUUGGGAAUCACCACUGUAUUUAGGAAUCUAAUCCUGGGCAUAGUGCACAGGUUAGGAAAAACAGAAUCUAGAUCAUUCCUCUAACUAACUCUAGUCCUGUGCCGCAGUGCACAAGUUAGAUCUAACAGAAUCUAGAACCUUCCUAGAAUUGACUGUAAUCCUGUGCACUAUACACAGGUUUGAUCUAACAAUACAACCCUUGGGUCUGAAUCUGGUGUCAAUGCUAUCUUUACUAAUGGAAUGGUUACUUGUCCUAUUGACGAGGGCACAUUUUUGAGUGCUGAUCUGCAUCUUCUUGAAUCGAUAGAGCUUAAAAAGAGGACGAAGCAUAUUGUGGAAAUUAUUAAACAGUCAUUAAACACGUAGUUGCUGAUAGUUCAAUGUCUAUGUAUUAUUUUCUGCUUUCCAUUUCACUCAUCUUUCCUCUAAGU